AGAGGGGUGCAAGCGUUAAUCGGAAUUACUGGGCGUAAAGGGUGCGUAGGCGGAUAAUAAGUUGGGAUGUGAAAGCCCUGGGCUUAACCUAGGAAUGGCAUACAAUACUGUUUAACUAGAGUACAGUAGAGGGGAGCGGAAUUUCCGGUGUAGCGGUGAAAUGCGUAGAUAUCGGAAGGAACACCAGUGGCGAAGGCGGCUCUCUGGACUGAUACUGACGCUGAGGUACGAAAGCGUGGGGAGCAAACAGGAUUAGAUACCCUGGUAGUCCACGCCGUAAAUGGUGAGAACUAGCUGUUUGGAGAUUACUCCGAGUGGCGCAGCAAACGCGUUAAGUUCUCCGCCUGGGGAGUACGGCCGCAAGGUUA
rnacentral:rRNA from 1 species